rnacentral:rRNA from 1 species
UACGUAGGUGGCAAGCGUUGUCCGGAAUUAUUGGGCGUAAAGCGCGCGCAGGCGGUCUCUUAAGUCUGAUGUGAAAGCCCCCGGCUCAACCGGGGAGGGUCAUUGGAAACUGGGAGACUUGAGUGCAGAAGAGAAGAGUGGAAUUCCACGUGUAGCGGUGAAAUGCGUAGAGAUGUGGAGGAACACCAGUGGCGAAGGCGACUCUUUGGUCUGUAACUGACGCUGAGGCGGCGAAAGCGUGGGGAGCAAACAGG